rnacentral:rRNA from 1 species
CCUACGGGAGGCAGCAGUGGGGAAUUUUGGACAAUGGGGGCAACCCUGAUCCAGCAAUGCCGCGUGAGUGAAGAAGGCCUUCGGGUUGUAAAGCUCUUUUGUCAGGGAAGAAACGGUGAGUUCUAAUACAACUUGCUAAUGACGGUACCUGAAGAAUAAGCACCGGCUAACUACGUGCCAGCAGCCGCGGUAAUACGUAGGGUGCAAGCGUUAAUCGGAAUUACUGGGCGUAAAGCGUGCGCAGGCGGUUAUAUAAGACAGAGGUGAAAUCCCCGGGCUCAACCUGGGAACUGCCUUUGUGACUGUAUGGCUAGAGUGUGUCAGAGGGGGGUAGAAUUCCACGUGUAGCAGUGAAAUGCGUAGAUAUGUGGAGGAAUACCGAUGGCGAAGGCAGCCCCCUGGGAUAACACUGACGCUCAUGCACGAAAGCGUGGGGAGCAAACAGGAUUAGAUACCCUGGUAGUCCACGCCCUAAACGAUGUCUACUAGUUGUCGGACUUAAUUGUNUUGUACGUACNGCUACGCGUGAGUAGACGCCGUCGGGAGGUACGGUCGCGAGAGUUAAACGUUAAAGUAAGUAGUAGCGUGNGAGACGCGACGACGACGACGACGGAGGAGGAGG